UGUUACUGCCGGUACUGCUCCACAAGAGCAACGUUACACUGUUUGAUCAGUCAGUGAGACAAUGACAGUGGAUAAUGACCUUAAUCGAUCUCUGAUAUUCUCACACAGCGAGGAAACAACAAACAAACAAACAAACAAACAGCAGCCAUUGAACUACCAGCAGCUUCAUUAUCACAUUGUUUGUCUUUGUUGUUCGAGACGCUGUUCGCUUGUCGCUUUCACUGAAUGCUCAUCAACAGGUGGCGUUGAUUUCCUCUGACAAUAACAGCAAGAAAACAACAACAACGACUGUUUAAAAGGUUCAAGUAUCCGGAGCGACCGCGAACUUUCCGUCAUGGCGUCAGUUCGCCUGAGCAGCCCGGUGGAGAGUCUGUUCCCUGGUGGAGAGUCAUUGUGGACUAGAGAGGGAAUACUGGGAAUAUCUGCUUCAUGGAGACGUUUGGAGGACGAGAGGAAGAAGAAAAGAGGACAUAAGACGAAGAACUGGAGUUUGUUGUGAGUUAGAAGGAGGACUGCUGCUGAGGCUCUGUGGGAACUAUGGAAGAGUCUUCAGUUUCUUACAGGUUGAAGGCUGAUGUCCAGAGUUACAGGAGGACUGCUGUUGACACGGCCUGCAGGAAACACAGAAGAGUCUUCAGAUAUUGGAGAGGUCCGUGGGGUGAAAUCCAACCUCAAAAUUAAGGAAAUUCUGGACCCUCAGGCUCCUGUAACCCAAAUCCCAUCGCUCCCAACCAGAACCCCGGACACGCUGCUGUAACCGUCUUCCACUGCGAUGCUGUGGUAUGUAUCUUACAUUAUUCUUGUAUAUGUAGUAAUAUUAUAUUUUUUUUUUUUUAUAUUUUUUUUUUUUUUUUUUUUUUUUUUUUAUU